UCGCACUGUGAAUGGCUGCGGGAUAUUAAAUAUCACUCCCAGUUCCGCAACCAUUUCUGGAGGUCCCAAUUUUGACAGGAACUGUUUACAUCAGUUUAUGUUAUUGUAAAAGGUUGUAAGGAUACUAUGUUGCAGAAGUAGAAGGGAAGCAGAAGAGAAGAACAAUACAAACCACUGGACCAGAUACAAUGACAUAGAAAUCUGUUGAUCAAGAUUUGGAACAAGGAU